GCGGAGCCCUUCUCGCCGCUGACUCGCCAGGAAAAAUAAAUUGCGGAUUUCAACCUGAUUAUCUUUUGAUUCUUAGCCUGUAAACGAGGGCUGGUGUAGAAAGCGGCUUGAAUCCCUGAUCUAAAGCUGCCUUCCCAGUAUCGGGUUCCUGAUUGGCGGGCGGGAGGACUUGCUGCGUCAUCUUUUCAUCUCCCCAUAUUCACCCUACGCAAGUGGUUCAUCGAACAACAAAUAAAGACUGUCCUCGCUAUAAAUG